rnacentral:rRNA from 1 species
UAAUGUUUGAUGUUCUAACGUGGACCCGUAAUCCGGGUUGCGGACAGUGUCUGGUGGGUAGUUUGACUGGGGCGGUCUCCUCCUAAAGAGUAACGGAGGAGCACGAAGGUUGGCUAAUCCUGGUCGGACAUCAGGAGGUUAGUGCAAUGGCAUAAGCCAGCUUGACUGCGAGCGUGACGGCGCGAGCAGGUGCGAAAGCAGGUCAUAGUGAUCCGGUGGUUCUGAAUGGAAGGGCCAUCGCUCAACGGAUAAAAGGUACUCCGGGGAUAACAGGCUGAUACCGCCCAAGAGUUCAUAUCGACGGCGGUGUUUGGCACCUCGAUGUCGGCUCAUCACAUCCUGGGGCUGAAGUAGGUCCCAAGGGUAUGGCUGUUCGCCAUUUAAAGUGGUACGCGAGCUGGGUUUAGAACGUCGUGAGACAGUUCGGUCCCUAUCUGCCGUGGGCGCUGGAGAACUGAGGGGGGCUGCUCCUAGUACGAGAGGACCGGAGUGGACGCAUCACUGGUGUUCGGGUUGUCAUGCCAAUGGCACUGCCCGGUAGCUAAAUGCGGAAGAGAUAAGUGCUGAAAGCAUCUAAGCACGAAACUUGCCCCGAGAUGAGUUCUCCCUGAGACUUUAGGUCUCCUGAAGGAACGUUGAAGACGACGACGUUGAUAGGCCGGGUGUGUAAGCGCAGCGAUGCGUUGAGCUAACCGGUACUAAUGAACCGUGAGGC